AGAGUUUGAUCAUGGCUCAGAGCGAACGCUGGCGGCGUGCUUAACACAUGCAAGUCGAGUGCGCGUUCCUGUAGCAAUACAGGAAUGGCGCACGGCGCACGGGUGCGUAACACGUGGGUAAUCUGCCCUCUGAUGGGGAAUAACCCGCCGAAAGGCGGGCUAAUACCGCAUAACAUUCCUUGGACUCCGGUUCGAGGAUUCAAAGGCGCAAGUCGUCGGAGGUGGAGCCCGCGCACGAUUAGCUAGUUGGUAGGGUAAUGGCCUACCAAGGCUAUGAUCGUUAGCUGGUCUGAGAGGAUGGCCAGCCACACUGGAACUGAGACACGGUCCAGACUCCUACGGGAGGCAGCAGUGGGGAAUCUUGCACAAUGGGCGAAAGCCUGAUGCAGCGACGCCGCGUGGGGGAUGAAGCUUCUCGGAGUGUAAACCCCUUUCGACCGGGACGAAUACCUCGCAAGAGGGGUGACGGUACCGGUAUAAGAAGCCCCGGCUAACUACGUGCCAGCAGCCGCGGUAAGACGUAGGGGGCCAGCGUUGCUCGGAAUUACUGGGUGUAAAGGGUUCGUAGGCGGUGUGGCAAGUCGGGAGUGAAAUCUCUGGGCUCAACUCAGGGGCUGCUUCCGAAACUGCCGUGCUAGAGUGUGGGAGAGGCGCGUGGAAUUGCAGGUGUAGCGGUGAAAUGCGUAGAUAUCUGCAGGAACACCCGUGGCGAAAGCGGCGCGCUGGACCACUACUGACGCUGAGGAACGAAAGCUAGGGGAGCAAACAGGAUUAGAUACCCCCGUAGUCC
rnacentral:rRNA from 1 species